rnacentral:rRNA from 1 species
UCGGGAAUUUUGGGCAAUGGGCGAAAGCCUGACCCAGCAACGCCGCGUGAAGGAUGAAGUAUUUCGGUAUGUAAACUUCGAAAGAACAGGAAGAAUAAAUGACGGUACUAUUUAUAAGGUCCGGCUAACUACAUGCCAGCAGCCGCGGUAAUACGUAGGGACCAAGCGUUGUUCGGAUUUACUGGGCGUAAAGGGCGCGUAGGCGGCAAUUCAAGUCAUCUGUGAAAUCUCCGGGCUUAACUCGGAACGGUCAGAUGAUACUGCUUUGCUAGAGUGCAGAAGGGGCAAUCGGAAUUCUUGGUGUAGCGGUGAAAUGCGUAGAUAUCAAGAGGAACACCUGAGGUGAAGACGGGUUGCUGGGCUGACACUGACGCUGAGGCGCGAAAGCCAGGGGAGCAAACAGGAUUAGAUACCCCUGUAGUCCCUGAGCGGGCUGGCAAGGCGCAU